GCCUUCUUGGCUCAGUUGGCUAGAGCGCAGGUCUCAUAAUCACGUGAGUGGUGGUAUCACCAUACAAUCCUGAGGUCGCAAGUUCGAGCCUUGCAGAGGGCA